rnacentral:lncRNA from 1 species
CGGCCGCGCGCCGCGGGGGGGAGGAGACGGUCUGGAGUCCCCCGCUGCGCAGGGGAUGGGGAGACGGAGGACUGCAGCGCCCCUUGGGGCUUCUGAUGCGCCCAGGUAAUCUCACCUGGCCGCCAGCCUCCCGCAGGAGGAACAGACACGCUGGUUCCACACCGAGCCUGUUAACAGCUCGACUUCCAAUAUUUGGUAAGUGAAACCUCACUGGACCUUCAUACUCGUAAGAAUCUAGGUUGAUCUAUUGGCCUCUGCUUUCCUGGGCCAUCUGUGCCUGGGAUGACAGAAGACAUGUGCUCCUCUUGGUACUGUCCACAGUUGUUCACCAUUGUGGAAAUGAAGCAUUUGCUGGAGGACUAUGAUGAAGACACACAGAACAUC